CAUAAUCAUCCGAUGGCAGUUUUGUGGCCUAUGUGCUGUGGUGCUGGGACAAUUUGUAUAGUGGGGGUGCUGAGAGCACCCCCAGGAUCCCUAGUUCCAGCACCUACACCUAUGUGAGAUGAUUUCGGAUAGUGAUGAACCUGCACUAACAAUGGACUAAAUACAUCCCUUGACCUGAGAACAGAACUCCUAUUGGCAGCAGUAAGAAUCAAGAAGCAUAUGGCCUUAAAAGUGGAAAGUUAAAAAUGCAGUAUUUCUACAAUGACUUAUAUUUGUCAUUAUUAAAACUCCUACUCAUAAA